GAUGAACGCUGGCGGCGUGCCUAACACAUGCAAGUCGAACGGAGUUCUUAAGGAAUGCGGCUUCGGCUAAAUGACUUUUGAACUUAGUGGCGGACGGGUGAGUAACGCGUGAGCAACCUGCCUUUCAGAGGGGGAUAACAUUUGGAAACAGAUGCUAAUACCGCAUAAGAUUACAGUACCGCAUGAUACAGUGAUCAAAGGAGCAAUCCGCUGAAAGAUGGGCUCGCGUCUGAUUAGCUAGUUGGUGAGGUAACGGCCCACCAAGGCGACGAUCAGUAGCCGGACUGAGAGGUUGACCGGCCACAUUGGGACUGAGAUACGGCCCAGACUCCUACGGGAGGCAGCAGUGGGGAAUAUUGGGGCAAUGGGCGCAAGCCUGACCCAGCAACGCCGCGUGAAGGAGAAGGC
rnacentral:rRNA from 1 species